rnacentral:rRNA from 1 species
CCUACGGGAGGCAGCAGUAAGGAAUAUUGGUCAAUGGACGCAAGUCUGAACCAGCCAUGCCGCGUGCAGGAUGACGGCCCUCUGGGUUGUAAACUGCUUUUAUACGGGAAGAAACCUCUGGUUGCGAUCAGAGCUGACGGUACCGUAAGAAUAAGGACCGGCUAACUUCGUGCCAGCAGCCGCGGUAAUACGAAGGGUCCAAGCGUUAUCCGGAUUUAUUGGGUUUAAAGGGUGCGUAGGCGGCUUAUUAAGUCAGUGGUGAAAGACUUCAGCUUAACUGAAGAACUGCCAUUGAUACUGAUGAGCUUGAAUAUACUUGAGGUGGGCGGAAUGUGUCAUGUAGCGGUGAAAUGCUUAGAUAUGACACAGAACACCGAUUGCGAAGGCAGCUCGCUAAAGUAUGAUUGACGCUGAUGCACGAAAGCGUGGGGAGCAAACAGGAUUAGAUACCCUGGUAGUCCACGCCCUAAACGUUGAUAACUCGAUGUGUGCGAUAUACAGUACGCGUCCAAGCGAAAGCAUUAAGUUAUCCACCUGGGAAGUACGGUCGCAAGAUUGAAACUCAAAGGAUUGACGGCUGAGAGNGCGAGGCGACACGAGGGAGAGG